rnacentral:miRNA from 1 species
GGGCGUGAUAUUCACACACCU